rnacentral:rRNA from 1 species
GAUGAACGCUGGCGGCGUGCCUAAUACAUGCAAGUCGAGCGAACAGACGAGGAGCUUGCUCCUCUGACGUUAGCGGCGGACGGGUGAGUAACACGUGGAUAACCUACCUAUAAGACUGGGAUAACUUCGGGAAACCGGAGCUAAUACCGGAUAAUUUAUUGAACCGCAUGGUUCAAUAGUGAAAGACGGUUUUGCUGUCACUUAUAGAUGGAUCCGCGCCGCAUUAGCUAGUUGGUAAGGUAACGGCUUACCAAGGCGACGAUGCGUAGCCGACCUGAGAGGGUGAUCGGCCACACUGGAACUGAGACACGGUCCAGACUCCUACGGGAGGCAGCAGUAGGGAAUCUUCCGCAAUGGGCGAAAGCCUGACGGAGCAACGCCGCGUGAGUGAUGAAGGUCUUCGGAUCGUAAAACUCUGUUAUUAGGGAAGAACAAAUGUGUAAGUAACUAUGCACGUCUUGACGGUACCUAAUCAGAAAGCCACGGCUAACUACGUG